rnacentral:rRNA from 1 species
AGGACGAACGCUGGCGGCGUGCCUAAUACACGCAAGUCGAACGGUCUUUCUAUGGAAGCUUGCUUCCACUGAGAAGAUAGUGGCGAACGGGUGAGUAACACGUGGGUAACCUGCCCAUAAGAGGGGGAUAACAUCCGGAAACGGGUGCUAAUACCGCAUAGUUUUCUUGAUCGCAUGAUCGGGAAAGGAAAGACGGCCUUUGUGCUGUCGCUUAUGGGUGGACCCGCGGCGUAUUAGUUAGUUGGUGAGGUAACGGCUCACCAAGACGAUGAUACGUAGCCGACCUGAGAGGGUGAUCGGCCACAUUGGGACUGAGACACGGCCCAAACUCCUACGGGAGGCAGCAGUAGGGAAUCUUCCGCAAUGGACGAAAGUCUGACGGAGCAACGCCGCGUGAGUGAAGAAGGUUUUUUCGGAUCGUAAAACUCUGUUGUCAGAGAAGAACAAGUUGGAGAGUAACUGCUCCAGCCUUGACGGUAUCUGACCAGAAAGCCACGGCUAACUACGUGCCAGCAGCUGC